GGAGAGGUGGCUCAGUGGUUAGAGCACUGGCUGCUAUUCCAGAGAACCUGGGUUCAAUUCCCAGCAACCACA
rnacentral:tRNA from 1 species